rnacentral:rRNA from 1 species
GUAGGUGGCAAGCGUUGUCCGGAAUUAUUGGGCGUAAAGCGCGCGCAGGCGGUUCUUUAAGUCUGAUGUGAAAGCCCACGGCUCAACCGUGGAGGGUCAUUGGAAACUGGAGAACUUGAGUACAGAAGAGGAAAGCGGAAUUCCACGUGUAGCGGUGAAAUGCGUAGAGAUGUGGAGGAACACCAGUGGCGAAGGCGGCUUUCUGGUCUGUAACUGACGCUGAGGCGCGAAAGCGUGGGGGAGCAAACAGGAUUAGAUACCCUGGCAGUCCACGCCGUAAACGAUGAGUGCUAAGUGUUAGGGGGUUUCCGCCCCCCCCUUAGUGCUGCAGCUAACGCAUUAAGCACUCCGCCCUGGGGAGUACGGCCGCAAGGCUG